GAUGAACGCUGGCGGCGUACCUAACACAUGCAAGUCGAGCGGCAGCGAGGGGUGCUUGCACCCUGUCGGCGAGCGGCGGACGGCUGAGUAACGCGUGGGAACGUGCCCCAAAGUGAGGAAUAACUGCCCGAAAGGGUAGCUAAUACCGCAUAUUAUCUUCGGAUCAAAGGAUUUAUCCGCUUUGGGAGCGGCUCGCGUCGGAUUAGGUAGUUGGUGAGGUAAUGGCUCACCAAGCCGACGAUCCGUAGCUGGUCUGAGAGGAUGACCAGCCAGACUGGAACUGAGACACGGUCCAGACUCCUACGGGAGGCAGCAGUGAGGAAUCUUCCACAAUGGGCGAAAGCCUGAUGGAGCAACGCCGCGUGCAGGACGAAGGCCUUCGGGUUGUAAACUGCUUUUAUAAGUGAGGAAUAUGACGGUAACUUAUGAAUAAGGAUCGGCUAACUACGUG
rnacentral:rRNA from 1 species